rnacentral:rRNA from 1 species
UACGUAGGUGGCAAGCGUUGUCCGGAUUUACUGGGCGUAAAGAGCGCGCAGGCGGUCGGAUAAGUCGAAUGUGAAAGCCCCCGGCUUAACUGGGGAGGGUCAUUCGAUACUGUUCGACUGGAAGGCAGGAGAGGGAAGUGGAAUUCCCGGUGUAGUGGUGAAAUGCGUAGAUAUCGGGAGGAACACCAGUGGCGAAGGCGACUUCCUGGCCCUGUUCUUGACGCUGAGGCGCGAAAGCUAGGGGAGCAAACGGG